rnacentral:rRNA from 1 species
CGGUGAGCCCCCGCGAACUGACAUACUUGAGUGCAGGAGGGAAAGCGAGAUUUCCCCAGUGUAGCGGUGAAAUGCGUAGAUUUUGGGGAAGAACACCGGCGGGCGAAGGCGGCUUUUAUGGACUGUAACUGACACUGAGGACACGAAAGCGUGGGGGAGCAAACAGGAUUAGAUACCCUGGUAGUCCACGCCGUAAACGAUGAGCGCUAGGUGUCGGGGCCUAACAGCCCCGGUGCCGGAGCUAACGCAAAAGCGCUCCGCCUGGGGAGUACGCACGCAAGUGUGAAACUCAAAGGAAUUGACGGGGACCCGCACAAGCAGCGGAGCAUGUGGUUUAAUUCGAAGCAACGCGAAGAACCUUACCAGGGCUUGACAUCCCGCCGACAGGGGCCCAAAAGCCCCCUCCCUCGGGCGGCGGAGACAGGUGGUGCAUGGUUGUCGUCAGCUCGUGUCGUGAGAUGUUGGGUUAAGUCCCGCAACGAGCGCAACCCUUGCUUCUAGUUGCCAGCGCGUCAAGGCGGGCACUCUAGAAGGACUGCCGGGGAUAACUCGGAGGAAGGUGGGGACGACGUCAAAUCAUCAUGCCCCUUAUGCCCUGGGCUACACACGUGCUACAAUGGCCGGCACAGCGGGAUGCGAAGCGGCGACGCGGAGCGAAUCACGAAAACCGGCCCCAGUUCGGAUCGCAGGCUGAAACCCGCCUGCGUGAAGCCGGAGUUGCUAGUAAUCGCGGAUCAGAACGCCGCGGUGAAUACGUUCCCGGGUCUUGUACACACCGCCCGUCACACCAUGGAAGUUGGGGGCGCCCGAAGUCGGCCGGCAAAUAGGCUGCCUAAGCGAAU